GAGUGUCAAGGGAAGUGACACUGACACGCCGAACCAAGAAAAGACAAUAGUUUGAAAGCCAAAAUUUGCAUCCAAUCCUCGUUAUAAAGCAUUUAUUGAUUGGGGACAGCAUAAUAUAAGUCCCUGAGAUAUAAGUAAACAAUUAUUAGGAUUCCGGAACUUUUAGUUCUGGAGCCAAACAAACUCAAAAUUGAGAGUUUGAUCCUGGCUCAGGAUGAACGCUGGCGGUAUGCGUAACACAUGCAAGUCGAACGAAGUUUUUCGGAACUUAGUGGCGGACGGGUGAGUAACGCGUGAGAAUCUGCCUUAAGGAUUGGGACAACAGUGGGAAACCGCUGCUAAUACCAGAUAUGCCUAUAAGUGAAAGGAGUUUAUCUCCGCCUUAAGAUGAGCUCGCGUCUGAUUAGCUAGUUGGUGUGGUAAGAGCGCACCAAGGCAACGAUCAGUAGCUGGUCUGAGAGGACGACCAGCCACACUGGGACUGAGACACGGCCCAGACUCCUACGGGAGGCAGCAGUGAGGAAUUUUCCGCAAUGGGCGAAAGCCUGACGGAGCAAUACCGCGUGAGGGAGGAAGGUUCUUGGAUUGUAAACCUCUUUUCUCAGAGAAGAAUAAUGACGGUAUCUGAGGAAUAAGCAUCGGCUAACUCCGUGCCAGCAGCCGCGGUAAUACGGAGGAUGCAAGCGUUAUCCGGAAUGAUUGGGCGUAAAGGGUCUGUAGGUGGUUGUUCAAGUCUGCUGUUAAAGCGUCUGGCUUAACCAGAUAAAGGCGGUGGAAACUGAACGACUAGAGUGCGGUAGGGGUAGAGGGAAUUCCCAGUGUAGCGGUGAAAUGCGUAGAUCUUGGGAAGAACACCUGUGGCGAAAGCGCUCUACUGGACCGCAACUGACACUCAUGGACGAAAGCUAGGGGAGCGAAUGGGAUUAGAUACCCCAGUAGUCCUAGCCGUAAACGAUGGAUACUAGGCGUUGCCCGUAUCGACCCGGGCAGUGUCGUAGCUAACGCGUUAAGUAUCCCGCCUGGGGAGUACGCACGCAAGUGUGAAACUCAAAGGAAUUGACGGGGACCCGCACAAGCGGUGGAGUAUGUGGUUUAAUUCGAUGCAACGCGAAGAACCUUACCAGGGUUUGACAUGUCCGGAAUCUCUUGGAAACGAGAGAGUGCCUUCGGGAACCGGAACACAGGUGGUGCAUGGCUGUCGUCAGCUCGUGUCGUGAGAUGUUGGGUUAAGUCCCGCAACGAGCGCAACCCUCGUUUUUAGUUGCCAGCACGUAAUGGUGGGCACUCUAGAGAUACUGCCGGUGAUAAAUCGGAGGAAGGUGGGGAUGACGUCAAGUCUUCAUGCCCCUUACACCCUGGGCUACACACGUACUACAAUGCUGUGGACAAAGGGCAGCAAGCCAGCGAUGGCAAGCAAAUCCCAUAAACCACGGCUCAGUUCAGAUCGCAGGCUGCAACUCGCCUGCGUGAAGGUGGAAUCGCUAGUAAUUCCAGAUCAGCAUUGCUGGGGUGAAUUCGUUCCCGGGUCUUGUACACACCGCCCGUCACACCAUGGAAGUUGGUUUUGCCCGAAGUCGUUAUUCCAACCGUUCGCGGAGGGAAACGCCGAAGGCAGGGCUGAUGACUGGGGUGAAGUCGUAACAAGGUAGCCGUACCGGAAGGUGUGGCUGGAUCACCUCCUUAACAGGGAGACCUACUUCUCCAGAGACCGAACCCAUAAAUUUAUUAGGUUCAAGAGAAGUCAUCCCUAGGUCGUUCGAGAUUGGCUGUUGGCUUUCAAACUAUUAUUGAGUUCGGUACCUUCUCCAGAAACAGCUAAGUAUUGUUCGGUUUGUAACACUCAAACAACUUGAUAGCUUGUUAAACUAGGAAGGUAUGGGGAUGAAACAUUGCCAGAGGCAAUAAACCCAAAGCUUUAAACUCAAUUGGAUAAACUUUUUCAGCAAUCUUGUUCACCAAAGCAAGACUGCUGGGCGAGAGUCCAGACAGAACCUUGAAAAUUGCAUAGCAACUUGUCAAAUGCGAAGUUGAUUGCAUCAGUUAUUAGUACAAAAAACUGGUAGUUGAAUGCAUCAAAUGCAGGUAGACACCAAUGUUUAAAAGUGGUCAAGCUAAUUAGGGCUAAUGGUGGAUACCUAGGCACACAGAGGCGAAGAAGGACGUAGUUACCGACGAAACGCUCCGGGGAGCUGGAAGCAAGCGACUGAUCCGGAGAUAUCCGAAUGGGGCAACCCCAAGUACUGCCUGUUGAAUAUAUAGACAGGUCAGAGCCAACCCAGCGAACUGAAACAUCUUAGUAGCUGGAGGAAGAGAAAGAAAUUUCGAUUUCCCAAGUAGUGGUGAGCGAACGGGAAACAGCCUAAACCAACGAGUUUACUUGUUGGGGUCGUGGGACAGCAAUAUCGAAUCUAGCGGUUAGACGAAGCAGAUAAAUACUGCACCAAAGAAGGUGAGAGUCCUGUAGUCGAAAACUUAAGGAUAGUAGCUGAAUCCCGAGUAGCAUGGGACACGAGAAAUCCCAUGUGAAUCUGCGAGGACCAUCUCGUAAGGCUAAAUACUACUGUGUGACCGAUAGUGAACCAGUACCGCGAGGGAAAGGUGAAAAGAACCCCGAUAAGGGGAGUGAAAUAGAACAUGAAACCAUUAGCCUACAAGUAGUGGAAGGACGAUUUAACGUCUAACCGCGUGCCUGUUGAAGAAUGAGCCGGCGAGUUAUAAGCAGUGGUAGGUUAAGUCAGAGACGUAGCCAAAGCGAAAGCGAGUCUGAAAGGGGCGUUAAUCACUGUUUAUAGACCCGAACCCGGGUGAUCUAACCAUGUCCAGGAUGAAGCUUGGGUAACACCAAGUGGAGGUCCGAACCGACCGAUGUUGAAAAAUCGGCGGAUGAGGUGUGGUUAGGGGUGAAAUGCCAAUCGAACCCGGAGCUAGCUGGUUCUCCCCGAAAUGUGUUUAGGCGCAGCGGUAACGAAUAUAUCUGGGGGGUAAAGCACUGUUGAGGUGCGGGCUGGGAGACCGGUACCAAAUCUCGGCAAACUCAGAAUACCCAGAGCACACGUUGCCAGUGAGACGGUGGGGGAUAAGCUUCAUCGUCAAGAGGGAAACAGCCCAGACCACCAGCUAAGGUCCCCAAAUCAUCGCUAAGUGGUAAAGGAGGUGAGAGUGCACAGACAACCAGGAGGUUUGCCUAGAAGCAGCCACCCUUGAAAGAGUGCGUAAUAGCUCACUGGUCAAGCGCUCUUGCGCCGAAAAUGAACGGGACUAAGCGAUGUACCGAAGCUGUGGAUUUAGCAAAAUGCUAACUGGUAGGGGAGCGUUCCGUUGUAGGUAGAAGCAGUAGCGGCAAGCAGCUGUGGACGAAACGGAAGUGAGAAUGUCGGCUUGAGUAGCGAAAACAUUGGUGAGAAUCCAAUGCCCCGUAACCCCAAGGGUUCCAGAGCCAGGUUCGUCCGCUCUGGGUUAGUCGGGACCUAAGGCGAGGCCGAAAGGCGUAGUCGAUGGACACAGGGUCAACAAUCCCUGACUAUUGAGUGGGAGCAUAUUAAGGGACGCAUGACGAUAAGCCACACCCUAAUUGGAUUGGGAAGGGUCUACGGACUCUGCGUGGUGAACAAUAGUGCCAAGAAAAGCUUGAUAUGUGAUGAAAGCUCAAUACCCGUACCCUAAACCGACACAGGUGGGGAGGUUGAGAAUACCAAGGGGCGCGAGAUAACUCUCUCUAAGGAACUCGGCAAAAUUGCCCCGUAACUUCGGAAUAAGGGGUGCCCACGCAAGUGGGUUGCAGUGAAGAGGCCCAGGCGACUGUUUACCAAAAACACAGGUCUCCGCCAACUCGUAAGAGGACGUAUGGGGGCUGACGCCUGCCCAGUGCCGGAAGGUUAAAGAAGUUGGUCAGGGGGAAACCCUAAAGCUGACGACUGAAGCCCCGGUGAACGGCGGCCGUAACUAUAACGGUCCUAAGGUAGCGAAAUUCCUUGUCGGGUAAGUUCCGACCCGCACGAAAGGCGUAACGAUCUGGGCGCUGUCUCGGAGAGAGACUCGGCGAAAUAAGAAUGUCUGUGAAGAUACGGACUACCUGCACCUGGACAGAAAGACCCUAUGAAGCUUUACUGUAGCCUGUAAUUGGUUACUGGUUCUGACUACGCAGUAUAGGUGGGAGGCAUUGAAAGUUCCCUUGUGGGGGGACUGGAGCCGACAGUGAGAUACCACUUUGUCAGAACUGGGAGCCUAACCGGGAGCCGUUAUCCGGCACUGGGACAGUUUCAGGUGGGCAGUUUGACUGGGGCGGUCGCCUCCUAAAAGGUAACGGAGGCGCACAAAGGUUCCCUCAGCACGGUUGGAAAUCGUGCGUAGAGUGUAAAGGCAAUAAGGGAGCUUGACUGCAAGAGUCACAACUCGAGCAGGGUGGAAACACGGUCUUAGUGAUCCGACGGCACAGCGUGGAAUGGCCGUCGCUCAACGGAUAAAAGUUACUCUAGGGAUAACAGGCUGAUCUCCGCCAAGAGUUCACAUCGACGCGGAGGUUUGGCACCUCGAUGUCGGCUCAUCGCAACCUGGGGCGGAAGUACGUCCCAAGGGUUGGGCUGUUCGCCCAUUAAAGCGGUACGUGAGCUGGGUUCAGAACGUCGUGAGACAGUUCGGUCCAUAUCCGGUGCAGGCGCAAGAGCAUUGAGAGGAGUCCUCCUUAGUACGAGAGGACCGGGAGGAACGCACCGCUGGUGUACCAGUUAUCGUGCCAACGGUAAACGCUGGGUAGCCAAGUGCGGAGUGGAUAACCGCUGAAAGCAUCUAAGUGGGAAGCCCACCUUAAGAUGAGUGCUCUCAUGGCAUAAGCCAGUAAGGUCACAGGUAGAUUACCUGUUGAUAGGCGGUAGGUGGAAGUGCAGUAAUGUAUGCAGCCGAGCCGUGCUAACAGACCGAGGGCUUGACCUCAAUCAAUUGGUGUAAGACAAGUUGCUGUGCAACCUUCAGGGUUUCUGAAAAUUUCAUUUUGAAAUUUCAAAACUACUUUUAAUUUUUAACUAGUUUUUUCUGGUGCCAAUGGCGCGGUGGAACCACUCUGACCCCAUCUCGAACUCAGUUGUGAAACGCUGCUGCGGCGACGAUAGUUGGCGGGUAGCUGCCUGUAACAAUAGCGGGCGUGCCAGGA
rnacentral:rRNA from 1 species